rnacentral:rRNA from 1 species
AUUGAACGCUGGCGGCAUGCCUUACACAUGCAAGUCGAACGGCAGCACGGGAGCAAUCCUGGUGGCGAGUGGCGAACGGGUGAGUAAUAUAUCGGAACGUGCCCAGUCGUGGGGAUAACGUAGCGAAAGCUACGCUAAUACCGCAUACGAUCUAUGGAUGAAAGCGGGGGAUCGCAAGACCUCGCGCGAUUGGAGCGGCCGAUAUCAGAUUAGGUAGUUGGUGAGGUAAAGGCUCACCAAGCCGACGAUCUGUAGCUGGUCUGAGAGGACGACCAGCCACACUGGGACUGAGACACGGCCA